GUAGCGAUGGCUGUGGUCCUCUGUCCAGAAGCCUGGGGCCCUCCGGGAUGAGAUCAACAUCGUGCUCAUCAAGAAGAUCUGCAGGUGGAGAGGAGACUGGAUUUCAAGAAUUCUCCAUGGAGGCUGGAUUCCAG